rnacentral:rRNA from 1 species
UACGGAGGGGGCGAGCGUUAUUCGGAAUUAUUGGGCGUAAAGGGCGUGUAGGCGGUCGGUCAAGUCUGGUGUGAAAGCCCGGGGCUCAGCUCCGGAAGUGCAUCGGAAACUAGCUGGCUGGAGCGCGAUAGAGGAGGGCGGAAUUCCUGGUGUAGCGGUGAAAUGCGUAGAUAAUCAGGAGGAACACCGGCGGCGAAGGCGGCCCUCCUGGAUCGUUGGCCUGACGCUGGAGACGCGAAAGCGUGGGGAGCAAACAGG